UACGAAGGGAGCUAGCGUUGUUCGGAAUCACUGGGCGUAAGCGCAACGUAGGCGGAUGUGUCAGUCAGGGGUGAAAUCCCGGAGCUCAACUUCGGAACUGCCUUUGAUACAGCACGUCUUGAGUCCGAUAGAGGUGGGUGGAAUUCCUAGUAGUAGAGGUGAAUUCGUAGAUAUUCGCAAGAACACCAGUGGCGAAGGCGGCUCACUGGCCCGAUACUGACGCUGAGGCACGAAAGCGUGGGGAGCAAACAGG
rnacentral:rRNA from 1 species